UACGGGGGGAGCAAGCGUUGUUCGGAUUUACUGGGCGUAAAGGGCGCGUAGGCGGUCAGCACAAGUCAGUUGUGAAAUCUCCGGGCUUAACUCGGAAAGGUCAACUGAUACUGUGCGACUAGAGUGCAGAAGGGGCAACUGGAAUUCUUGGUGAGCGGUGAAAUGCGUAGAUAUCAAGAGGAACACCUGCGGCGAAGGCGGGUUGCUGGGCUGACACUGACGCUGAAGCGCGAAAGCCAGGGGAGCGAACGGG
rnacentral:rRNA from 1 species